rnacentral:rRNA from 1 species
CAGCCGCCACGGGAACACCGAGGGUGCGAGCGUUAAUCGGAAUUACUGGGCGUAAAGCGCGCGUAGACGGUUUUGUAAGUCAGAUGUGAAAUCCCUGGGCUCAACCUGGGAACUGCAUUUGAGACUGUAUGGCUAGAGUAUCGAAGAGGGAAGUGGAAUUUCCGGUGUAGCGGUGAAAUGCGUAGAUAUCGGAAGGAACACCAGUGGCGAAAGCGACUUCCUGGUCGAAUACUGACGUUCAUGUGCGAAAGCGUGGGGAGCAAACAGGAUUAGAGACCCCCGUAGUCCCUGUCUCUUAUAC